UGUCUCUGACCUGGGUAAAGUGGCAUCUGGUUGGUGGUACUUAUCUCAAAUCACACAGACAUAAGGCAACCUCUUGUUUAUCCCAGCUUGGCUUUUCUUAUCUUUUUUUUUUUUUUUUUUUUUUUAGACAGGGUC
rfam:Macaca mulatta chromosome 11, whole genome shotgun sequence.